CCCUGCCUUUUGUACACACCGCCCGUCGCUCCUACCGAUUUUGGGUGAUUAGGUGAACCUUCUGGAUUAGAGUAGUCUUUAAGACUAUUCUGAGAAGUUAAGUAAAUCAUUAUCACCUAGAGGAAGGAGAAGUC
rnacentral:rRNA from 1 species